GUGGCAGUUUUACCAUUUAUUGGGUUAUGUCAACCCAUGCUGGGUUAUUUAUCAUAACCCAGCCACAGGGUUGGUGGUUUAGAACUCAAUCUCCAACAGAUGUAGGGCAUUCUACCCACUAGAUGGGUCACUUAACUACUGGCAGCCCAAGUACUGGGUGAACUCAUUGAGCAGCCCAUCCCCCACCCCUGCCUGAAUGUGCAACUCCAGCCAGAUCUUCAACCGUCACUUUUUCUAUCAUGAAUCUGACUGCAAGCUGUGUGCUGUAGCCGUCAUCAUAUUCAAGGUGGUGUGAGGACUGCUGCCCUGAGACCGCUGUGUGCAUUUUGGAAUGUUCCAAAUGUGUGUUACGUCCAUACAGAAGAAAUUCCAAGCCUGCAAUGGGCUCUAUCAACUGUCCAGGGCAAAGUCGGUCUACUCUGAUGGCACUACCUGUUACCCUGACCUCAACGUAGUGGGUGUGGACUACAGGAGCCCUGAUGUCAAGAAUUAAUAUAGACGGUGAUGGUGGCAAGGGUGCCUCCAUAAGGUGCCAGAAUUCCCAGCCUGGAGCCAGAGGCUGCUAUUGCAAGUCAGAUGGGGGAUGAUCUAUGUUAGGCGUCAGAAAGGUGGUGUACGCAGGAAGGCAAGGCAAAGAUGUGAUUAGACUUCCUUCAAUAAGACAGGGCAACAGACACAUGACAGAAAGUGACUGGGAGAGAGAGACUUUGAAUGGACUGGCCUGAAACUGAACUGGGUUUCCAAGUUUAUGGUUGAGUUUAAAUGUUAAUGCUAUUAUCAACUGUACUUUUAUCAAAUUGCUCAUGUAUGAUGACUGGA